CAGAGCCCGACAACGGGGCUCGAACUCACAAACCUCGAGAUCACGACCUGAAGUCAGACAUUUCACCGACCGAACCACCCAGGCGCCCCAAGAAGUGAGCGACUUAGAUAUACGGCAGUGGGCUAGGACCAAAUUUCAGUAAGAUUCUCCUGGUAACAAUGCCUUCCAUUUGCCAAUCUGUCAGUCGAUUUCUUCGCACUUUCUAGCUUUGGGGGCUAUCUGCCCAACGGACUCACUGCUAGCGAACAGGGCCCAGGAUAGGACUUGAGUUUUUCCUUUUCAUUGCCACCGCAAGGUCUCACCCUGUCAUCUGCGCCCCAGCACGAGGCUGACAUAUCAGAGCUGAUUUCCAUGCAGACAGAGGUCAACACAGAGCAGUCGCUCUGUCUGGUACCCGUCCAUUAUGGUGUAUUUAUACCAAGGCCGUCAGCUCCAGGCCCAUCUCUCUCAUCACUAGAAUAUAUGCUCUGAGGACACACACUGUGCUUCUUCACUGCUGCAAUCCCAAGCCUAGAUGGUGCCUCACCGGCAAAUACCGACAACCAAAAAGCUACCUGCUGCCGAAUGACCCCAGUUGUUGGCUCGCUGUGCGCACGGACUACCCCUCGUUGAUCCUUAUUUUCUCGAUGGCAGGUAUGGCUUCUCAGACCAGCGCUCAGGAAACAUUUACUGACUUGUACUGCUCAAACCAUCGUCCUCUGAAGAAAGGGGUAAGGAUCUUAAAAACCACCCCACCUGCUUCUCUCUAUUAAACCAGAUCUGGGACUAAUCAACAUGAGUGACUCCCGGGCUGUUUCAUCAACAUGUUCCCCAAAAUAAAAACGACCACACCGCCUGCCCUUUGGGGAUUGAUUUGCUACUUUGAGAAGUUAAUCUCUUCAGCUUGACUCUAAAAGUCAAAUCAAAUACCUCAGUGUGGGCAGGACACCACAUUUAUUUUAACCUAUGAAACUCUCAUGGUUGGUCACCCUUGCAAAAGGGCAGACUCUGCCCUAAGAACACACAUCUGGCAGGUGGUCCUAAAACAGAGGAACGGGCCUGAUGGGCCCCUCCCUUCCACCCAGGUGUCUCUACCCACAGCCAAACGAUGAUGGCAAAAACAGAACCCUCAAAUCCAGAAAUGACCCAUCUGUUCACAAGUCUUAUCUUCCUCUCCUACUACUGCAAAGGUGCCCACCUCUGGCAGCAGACGGGGUGACCCCAGAGCCUAAGCAUCACACCCCUUCCUGUCAACCCCCUUCUAAGCUCUCGUUCAUGAAAGAUUCCAAAAUGUCUCUAUUUCUACGAAGUCCUUACGAAAUGAAGUUGAGGAAUGACCAGGAAACAUCCUGACAGUUUCUUGCUCUCUGGACCCAACGCCACCUGAGGCAGCAGACAUCUUCUGCCUGAGGAUGAGUAACUGCUGGGCAGUUUGACAAUCAAAGCACCGGGAAGAUUUUUAAAAGAAAAGGAAGGGCAGAGAUUGCUUGAUAUUUUGGCUUGGCUUUCUGUCCAAAAAAGGGCUGACCUAGGAAUUCAGCAGCAUUGCCCACAGAUGUCGGUGGGUCGGACCCGGAGGCGGAUCUCAUGAGCAUGACCUGAAGGUAACGGACUCUUUUACGAAGUCCCCAGAAACAGGCUGGGUUUGGAUUUGAGGGUACGGGGUGAGAAUCUUGUUAGAAACCCAAGAGACGCUUUGUGGGACCAAUGCAAACGUCAAAAGAAAAUGCCUCCCGAAUGAUGUAUCUGGGCAACAGGAAGAAAGAAAGGUGUGCUCACUGAUGAGGAUUAGAACACAGAAUUGGAGGAGUCGGGCGCCCGCGCUUCUCAGGGGGCGGAGGGCAAUCUCUGGAACUUAUUCUCUCCUAGCAGCAAAGCCCCCCCCCCCCCCCCCCCCGCGUGUCCAGGAUGCGACGAAAUGACCGGCUAAGUCUGUUAGAAUUCUCGGGGAGGUGAGCUAGACCCCAAGGGACCAUCGAAGCACCGAAUUUUUCAAUUCUAUCCAGCAAUCAACCACCGAACGCCCCUCAGAUGUAAGGUGUGGUAGCCAGACCGGGUUGGGUAGCAAACAGAACGUGAACAACAGUGAGGAGGUAGACAAAGGAACGCAUUUUGUUCCGCCAUCGUGUGAUGGGCUGUGUCCUACCUACGCCUUGCCUUUAAAGAAGAAAGGACCGAGAGCCUCGCCUUGAGGGGCCCUGCCCGAGAAACUGCACCCACCUCGGCUCUGAAUGUCAACCACCUCCACAGAGCUGCACCCUGCGAGCACCUCUCCAGCGAGGAGCGCCCUGGCCUCCCGUCAACGUUUCACAUUCACUCACUCAGGACCACUUUCACUCUUGUGAUUCUCAGGGAGAGGUGAGUCACACAGAAGACAAUGCCAUUUUGGCUUUGUUGAGGGCAACAACAGGCACAGAGCUCUGAAGCCUAUCGUGGGCCACCAAGAGCACCGGGACCGUGGCCUUGAGUCCUGCCGCGCUGGCCUACCCGACAACCCGUGUUCGUCGGGGGGGGCUGAUGUGGCCGGUCAGCAGACCUGCGGCGGCCGUGACGAGGUGCUACUCAGACCUCCGACUGCAGGCAGCAGGACUGAUGGGAUCCAUGUCCCCGCUGAGGCCACACUACCUGGGGCCGCUCCCCAGAGGCAUGAGGUUCAUUCCUGGGGGACACAGAGCUGCUCCGCUGGGCGACUCUGGCAUGAGGAUUCCCCAGGAGUCCGACCAGACUUUUCUUGGCACUGAGCCGCUCAUGGAGGCUCUUCCCCACCCAAAUCCGCCCUCCCUCCCUCCUUUUACAGGUGUCAGACCUGCAGCCUGGUCUAAAAGCUCCCCGGCCUUCCCGUGCUGUCCCCCACUUUGUCCUUCAUGGACCUCCCUCACACACCAAGACAUUUCUUGCAAGUCUAAUCCCGUCUUGACAUCUACAUCUUAGCAGACCCAGAAUGACACUAACCCGGCCACUAAGAGUGGAUCUCUUCCUACUAAUCGCCCGACACCGUGAAAAACUUUGAAAGGCAUCUUCUUUGUGGUUUUCUAGGCGACGUUGGGCUAGACCUCUUUCCCCCCUCUGAACUUCGAUUCCCUCAUUCGUACAGUGAGACUCACAGAACCUACCUGGUGCGGUGGUUGGUGACAGUUCAAAAAAGGUAAUGUCCAUGAAAGAGGCGAGUGCACAGUAGGAGCUUAGCACAGGUGGUUUGAGCUGAAUGGUCAGAAUGACCUAAUCUGAUAUUAAGUAUCUUUUGUGCCCUAAGUCACUGCCACCAAUUACUGGAAUUCUCUAAAUAAAAUACAUUAACCUCUGGCCUCAAGGAAUACAGAAUUACACCGGAAAGACAAAAGUUGCAGGAUGAUAUGGAACAGUGGUAACCCGCUAUGUACCUAGCAAGGCUUCUGGACGCUUUCCCCAAACGAUUCCUUCCAUCCUCACAACCGUCCUAUGAGACCAUAACUAUUACUGCUACCAUUUCGCAGAUGAGAAAACGGAGGUACAGGGACGUCUGCUUGCCUGAGGUCACACACGGUCAGUGGCAAAGCUGGCACACACGCAGGCCGACCGGCGGCCGAGUCCAGCUCUUGACGUCUCCAUGAAACAUAACCAGGGCUUAAACAGCCUAGGAAGGCCUCCCUCUUGGGCGUUUUGCCUGGACUGAAAUGGGAAGGCAUUCCCAAGUGACAGACCUACCAACCUGGGGGUGUCACAUGGAAGUCGCCUUAGGGAGAAACGGAAGGGGUACAGCUGCUCUUGAACUGAGUCUCUAUACCAAGGAACCACUCACUGCUCAUGCUCCAGAGCAGUGAAGGCCAUCCAAGGAAAAGAGAAAGAUGCCAAGGGGCAAAAGCAGGAAUCUUUGGGACGCCUGGCAGGGCCUUUCCCAACAGAAGCUGCGGGGAGUUUCCAAGGCCUGUUGGUUGAAGGCAACGAGGACCUGUGUGGAUGCCUCAGCAGCGUGCUGGCUGACUUCUGCUCAGUGGAAACAUUUUACUUCAAAGACCAAAAAGGUGGAGCCUCAAACUGGAGACAGAGCAGGAAUUCCAGAACAGUCACCACCCAAUUCCAUCAUUUGUAGUUAGCUUUUGUUAAAGAAACAGGGACCCACAAAAUCGGAGACUUCGGGACUCCUCCAAAACGGGCAGGGGGGGCCGUCCCCAAAACAGAGGGGUCAACUUGCAAGUCGCCUGCCACCCAAAAUCCAGGUACCCGCUCGGCCUCGGGUAGCUGGGGACGGCACCAGGGACUGGGGCACACCGUGUGAAGGGUAAAUGGGCAAAGACAGCUUGCAAGGUAUUACUGCAGCUGAAUCAAGACGAGGAGGUGGCUCAGUCAGCUGUGGCCUUCAUCAACAACGAGCGGAAACAGGGAGCCUCCCUUUCCACGUUUUUUUUUAAAGACAUUUAGAAAAAAAGAAAAUUAAUAAUGAAGCCGAAUCCCGCUCCCCUGUGAUCCUUUUCUACUCGUGUCAGAUGAUUACGAAGAACUACCACAAAGUGAAUCAGGGGGCAGAAGCAGGAAAAGGGCCCUGCAGACCAGAGAAAGGGACCUCUCUCAUCCAGUUCAAAUUUCCCAAGGAGUUUCCCUCCCCCAUGACCCACGGUGUUUCCCCGUCAGUCUCCUAAACUGAGCGGCAUGUUAACCCAUUACUCCAGGGAGAUCCCUCCCCCCAAACCAUUCCACGCACCCCUCCCCCAACCCAGGACCCACCGCGAAACACAGCACAGAGAAUCAGAAUCCUGCCCGGCUUCUGAGAUGCUGGCUGGCAGCAAUGCCCCGCUUUAGGCCAAGGGGGGGUGUCUGCCUGGCUUCCUGCAACCUGCUCAUCACAGGGCCUCUGAACCGGAAAGGGGAGACACUCUCUGUUGCUGCCUUUCUCAUUUCUGAGCUCGCUUCCUCCUGCCCAUUCAGGUGCUACCCAAGGAUGCUCUACACUGAGACUGUGGUUGGCCGCCUGCAAGCCUGCGGGCCAGCUCCAGCGUUGCCUGCCCCCAGAACCUCAGGGCACCUGGAGAAGGCAGUCACUGCCCGAAAUGGGGACCAGAGUUCUAUAUUCAAGUCCACAAGUUGUUUCUUCUCACCUACAGCCCAUGCACACACUCUUACACUGAUGGCCUUCACCCAGAGACUAUAUUCCAGAGCGUGGCUUCGGUAGUUAUCCCUCCCCUGACCCCCAAAUUAAAAAGCUCUAUGCUGUUCCUAAUAACAUACCCGUCUGGAUUCAGAAUUGUAGAAAUCUCCCGCACAAAGUCCCGCCGCACUAGGAAUUUGCUUUGGUGACCCCUCUCCCCUUUCCUUAUCGGUAACUUGGGCUUAUACCAAAGGUUUCCUAGGUUGCUGUUUGUACCUGAGUACCUUGAGAUUGUUUUGCAAUCCCGUUUUCCUUCAGAAAACUCCGAUUUCAGGUAACACUGCCAAAUCUCGGGUUUCAUUCUGAAUUGAAGGGCUUUGAAGCACUUCCUUUUGCAGUGAAGUUGUUUAUUUUCAAAAACACGUUUUAGCAGUAGCUUUGGGUUACUGAACCCUAAAACUUAACUGUGAGCCAGAACGCCAAGGUUCUGGGCUUGGCCUAGGGACUUUCUUACUGUAUGACUCUAGACUGGCUCCAGGGCCAUCUGUGACAUGGCAAGAAGUCUUUCAGUCCAGAAGCAGUUCGAGAGGGUUCCAGGGGAAUGCACUGCAUGGGGCUUCGUUUUCUACAAGACUAGUACUCCUGUUUUUGGUGAUGUCUCACGCAAAAGUAUUUGGAAGUUGAACUCCCGACAGUCCCACGUUUAGCCAUAAGGAAAAUGAGGGACCGUAUUUUCACCAAUCUGCAGAGCACUCCAUCAUUUCGUUACAGUUAAUGAAACGAAAGUUAAUGAACGGCUUUGGGCUCAGCCUUUUUCAGCCCUCAGGAAGAAAAAGAGACCUUAACCACUUCAUUCACAAUUGUAACUCUGGGUGGGGACAUACCCAGGCACUGGACAAACAACAGCAUUACCACCAGGCCUGCUCAAGAAGCACCAGUGAUAGGAAGGGUGCCUUAUCUGGCAUAAUGUCUGGCCAUCCGGAAUGAAGUUCGCUCAAAGGUGACCUACAGGCCAACGACUCUAGACUGAAGCCAAAGGCUAGCAUUAUGUCCUCCAAAGAGCCCCAACCCGUAUACGUGCGGUGCUAAGUGGUAACAAGUGGGAGACGAGGUCUCUAAUCUACUGUAGGAAAGCAACUGAGGUAAGCAAUGAGUCUUCUCGUUCCUUAACAUGGACAAGGACUGCAGGGGUGAGUGAGACAACUGGCACUUGAGGUUCAAUUCGGGAGCUACUUCUGGGCACGUGGCAAUGACGCGGUCACUUUUUGUGCCUCAGUUUCCUCAUCUACAAAAUGGGGCCAGAGGAAGAGGGAACGCUAUUUGACAACACAGAAUGCUCCUCUGUAGCUACUGCAAUUGAAAAAAUAAUCAGAGACUGCUAUGUUUUUCAGGGAUCGGGGAAGCAUUUUGCUUAGGUCUACCAAACAGAUAGGAAAACACUGGGCCACUUCUCUCAGAUUGUUUUGUAAUUGGACGGGGUUCAUAAUGUAUCUUCAAACAAGAGAAAAUGGAGCUUUCUGAUUGUAUCAGUUUGAUAACCGUAAGCAGUUCACAGUAAGGUAAGAAGGUACAUUUUGGCGGAAGCCAGCGUUGCAUUUGAUGUAUUCUUAACUCAGCUAACAGGCAGCCUUUCAAGCCACGUUAUCUGCCCCCACAUCUUGACCUAAUUUAACAAGUUGCCAUGGGAGCCCAGUGAAGGUUGAUGCAAUUUUCUUAUCUUCGGAGGAAGAAUGUAACAGUGCAAGAGAAUGUGAAAAUUCAGUUUCUAACUGAUUUCCACACGUACAGUGCAGUAACUAAGACAUCACAUGAAGAAGUGAAAUGCAGUCCUUUGAAGGUGAUAGAGACAAAGACCCAAGCUCCCUGUGCGUAAUGGCAGGGAAAUGACUCUCUUCCCAGCUCGGAGGACGUAUACAUACACACUUUAGCUGAAGCCAAGUACUGGUGAUGGAAACGAACACGGCUCCUCCUGUGUGGCCACACAUACUCUGGAGUAACAGAAUUUUAAGGGAAUGAACAAAAAAGGAGAGAGAAAAUAGGUGUGACUUUAACAGGCAAAAGAAAGUUUGCCAACACUCAUACAACGCUUUCCGCUUGCCAAAGGCCUCUUCCAAACUUCAGCUCAUCUUAACACGUCUGCAUAAGGCCAGAGCCCCAUCUCUAGGAAUCCCAGGCACGUGCACGCCCUGUGGCUGGCGGAGGGGGCUGAACAGGUAUGUUCCAUCCCCUUCCCCAUCCCCUAGAGUGGACCUGAAAUGAUACGGGACCACAAUGAGCGGGCAAGGGCAAGGGAACCACCACAGAGCAUUCGUUUGCAGUGUGGACAGAUCUCCACCAAGCACUGAGCCCAGGAAAAAUGUCCCCAAAAUUUGGGCUGGCUCCCCCACACGCCUAACAAAUCCUGACCUUCAUGCAGACCACAGCAAGAAGAAAAAAUCUAGUCCAAGUCUAAGGACAAUUCUCAUUACACGAAUUCGACAAGAUCAUGAACCCUCAAGGGCUACUCCUGGCCCUUAUCUGCACUCAACAGUGCUCAGAAACAUUUGUUGGAACAACUGGUUUGUUACAACUGAGCUCCCAACCCACACCCCCCAUGCUUAGUAUCAUGCCUAGCACUCCUUUGCUUCAUUAACUGAUUUAGUGCAAUUACAUUUGCCCAGAUCUCCCACCACCAAGAUAAGGAUGAACACCUUCCACUUUACUAAAAGUAGAAAAGGGUACAAGGUAAAUUUGCCUAAAAUCACACAGUGUGGUAGAGCUGGGGGGCAGCCCAGGGGACUUCUGUUUUCUGGGCUAUUGUUCUCACCACCAUAUGAGACAGGGUGAAAAGCUGUAUCCCCAGCCAUAAAGCAAAACUGGAUGGUGAGAUGCUUAAAACGUGCUUUUAAAUGCAAGCGGCUGCUUUAGUCUUCGAGGCCUUUAACUGGCAUUCACCUUCCCUCUUCUUCCACUCACUGGGUGUUAUACUCCCUUAGAGAAAGAGAGGGAGAGAGACAGAGAAAAGAAGGAAGAAAGCAAGAGCACCUUUUAAAAACAACCCACUCAGGGGCGUCUGGGUGGCUCAGUCGG